UCCUUGGUGAUCUAGUGGUUAGGAUUCGGCGCUCUCACCACUGCAUCCCAGGUUCAAUUCCCAGUCAGAGAA